CCAGUGAUCUGGUUUAUGCUCAGAUUGAUUUACAGGACAAAAUGAAGACCAAGGGCAAAGGGAAGAGCAGUGAGUCUGGAGACACUUUGUACUCUGAACUGAAGCACAACACAGACAGAGGAGCUGAUGCUGGUGAUGAAACUUGUGCUCAACCUUUGAGGAAGAAGAAUAAAACACGUCUCUGAGUGCAGUGAAGACAACAGACGGCUAAAAGAGAUUCACAGCAGCAGACACAGUGACGCUUGCAUUGCUUCAGAAAUGAAUCUGAGUGAACUGCUUACACACGUGCUUGAUUCAGUUACUUUCGUUAUCUCUACACAUAUUACACAAGCAAAACAAGUGUCUCUCUAGUAUAUUCAUUAGUUAGAUCCCCAGAUUAUUAAGAUCCAGCCCCAGAUGCUAGAUCUCAUCAGAAAAUAUCAGUUUGUCUCGUAACAGAACAACUCUUCAGUAAAGUUGGUUUUGCAAAAUCUAAAAAACAAAACCGGUUCACAGAAGUCUUGUCUGGUGCCCAAAAUACCCAAAACUGUAUUAACAGUCUUCUAUCAGAGAAGAAGCUGACUGAGGAAAAACUCAGAGAAGAGCAGAACAGCAGACGAAGUGAUGAUAAAAGAGCAGAGUUUAUUG